AUUGAACGCUGGCGGCAGGCCUAACACAUGCAAGUCGAGCGAGACGCGGACGGGUGCGUAAUGCCUGGGACUUGCCCCGUCGAGGGGGAUAACAGUUGAAAACGACUGCUAAUCCCACAUACGAGUGGGUUGCCCAGGUGGGAUUAACUAGUUGGUGGUGUAAUGGCUCACCAAGGCGACGAUCCCUAGCUGGUCUGAGAGGAUGAUCAGCCACACUGGAACUGAGACACGGUCCAGACUCCUACGGGAGGCAGCAGUGGGGAAUAUUGCACAAUGGGCGAAACCCUGAUGCAGCCAUGCCGCGUGUGUGAAGAAGGCCUUCGGGUUGUAAAGCACUUUCAGCGAGGAGGCGUUACUCGCAGAAGAAGCACCGGCUAACUCCGUGCAAGCAGCCGCGGUAAUUC
rnacentral:rRNA from 1 species